CAGCUUCUAACAGGAAGACUAAAACAGAUGUCUGUAAUAUUUGUCCCUCGACCCAGAAUCCUGCUCUGUAGUUUUAUGGACAAAGUCUCAAAACCCUGUUUUAUCAGAAAACAUUCAUAGUGAAAGUUAGAAAAGAACAAGCCACAGGAAGCAAGAGCAAGUGACCACAAUUCUGUCGGGUAAAAUUGGUAGUCUUCUCUCAGUUGUAUGUCAGUUACAUCAAUGAAAAGUGACCGUUCAAUGGAUUCCCUCUCGUUAUUUCAAAGAGAGAGAAAGGUCUCUCCGCCAAA